UACAUGGGGUGCAAACGUUGCUCGGAAUUAUUGGGCGUAAAGCGCGCGUAGGCGGUUACUCAAGUCGGAUGUGAAAGCCCUCGGCUUAACUGAGGAAGUGCACCCGAAACUGAGUAGCUAGAGUACCAAAGAGGGUCGCGGAAUUCCUGGUGUAGCGGUGAAAUGCGCAGAUAUCAGGAGGAACACCAAUGGCGAAGGCAGCACUCUGGGACGUGACUGACGCUGAGACGCGAAAGCGUGGGGAGCAAACAGG
rnacentral:rRNA from 1 species